CCUCACUCUGGUCAAGACCUUUGCUCCCUGCUCAGAUGGCCCUGGGCUCCGUUGCCAUGGCUGCUUUUUAGUUUGAGGUAAACAGAGCUCUUCCUCCUCCUGUCCAGACACCUAAGUUCUCUCUGGGGAAGGGUUGGAAUUUCAAGCGUCCAGGUGUCCCUCACUCCCCUUCCCGGAAGGCACGAGGGCGGAGGAGCACGUGACCUCAGUCAAUCCAAUGGGAGUCGGUUUUGGAACGUAAGCCAUAAAGACUGGGAAAGUGGCUCUCCCUUGGUUGCCAUCCUUGCUGCAGCAUGGACAUGGUCAUGGUCAGCUAAGAAGGAAGCCCACACAGAAGGAAACAGUCAAGGGAAGGAGAGAAAAUCCGAUGCCAUCAUCAAGUCCCUCAUCUGGCUAUACCAAAGCCAAAUAAACAUCCCAAACCUCCCAAUUAUCUCCUCACUUCACCAGAACAGAAUGGUCUCCCCAAGCCAGAGCUUCCCUGCCAGGGUGUCUGGUCACACCAGCUGUGCCAAGAGUGAGCUAUACCUGUGUGAUGCACUGGGCCCACCAGCU
ensembl:lncRNA